GUCAAUGUUAUAAAAGUGUUUUAUAACAUUGACCCCUGGGGUCAAUGUUAUAAAAGUGUUUCGAUAAUUUUCUACAGCCGAAACGUUUACAGGCGAUAAAUGUUCCGGAGGAGCGAAUUUUUGUUAAAGAUCCAGAGAUAUGAAUAUUUAGUUGUAAAAACCUGUUUAGAACUUUUCAAAGUACUUACUUUGAGUUGAAAACUUAUUACAAAUUCAUUCAUUUUAAUAAAGUGCACAUUUCUUGAAAGUGUUUAGAGAUCAUGUACAACUUGUUUCCAAAGUUUUUCAUAUUGCUUAUGGCAUGGAAGCACGUCAAAACUUAUUGUGGAUAAUAUUCUAAUCAAAAGAGUUUAUGUUUAAAUGUUUAAAUAAAUUUUUGUUAUAA